UUGAAUUGAAAAAAAUCACCUCUCAUCAACAUCACAGCCCAACUCAAAAUGGACGACGAAGCAGAGAUAUACGACGGCAUUAGAGCCCAAUUCCCGCUCUCCUUUGGCAAACAAUCGAAACUCCAUACCUCUCUCGAAAAAGUUCACGACUCCACCCGCCGAAUCGAACCGCAACCUCCCGCUGCAACCUCCAAGAGUAAUGACUUGCCGUCUCUCUCAUCCUCCUCCCGAGCUUGGCUUGACUCUCUCCGAAAACCUAAACCUUCCGACGCGACAAAAGUGGGGCCUGCACCGCCUCCUGAGCCACCGAUACAGGAGGAAGAUGACGGUGACGUGAUGAUUGGCCCCCCACGGCCUCCCCAGCCUGCGGAAACUGAGGAUGAUGAGGGAGAUGAGAUGAUUGGGCCACCGCGGCCGCCCGUGGCAGCAGAGACGGACGAUGAACAGGGGGAGGAAGAGGAGAAUCGAUAUCGGAUUCCGAUGAGUAACGAGAUUGUUCUCAAGGGUCAUACUAAGAUUGUUUCGGCUCUUGCAGUUGAUCACUCUGGGUCUAGAGUUCUCUCCGGUAGUUAUGACUAUACGGUGCGAAUGUAUGACUUUCAAGGAAUGAAUUCCCGUUUACAAUCCUUUAGACAACUUGAGCCAUUUGAAGGCCAUCAAGUGCGUAACUUAAGUUGGAGUCCUACUUCGGACCGUUUCCUCUGUGUAACUGGCUCUGCUCAAGCUAAGAUUUAUGACCGAGAUGGACUUACCCUAGGUGAGUGUGUUAAGGGUGAUAUGUAUAUUCGUGAUCUCAAAAACACCAAGGGACACAUUUGCGGAUUAACAUCUGGGGAGUGGCACCCUAAAAAUAGAGAGACGAUUUUGACAUCAUCGGAGGAUGGAUCUCUUCGUCUAUGGGACGUGAAUGAUUUCAAAUGUCAGAAGCAGGUUAUCAAACCAAAGCUUGCAAGACCUGGAAGAGUUCCGGUUACCACAUGUGCUUGGGAUCGUGAAGGAAAAUGCAUUGCAGGUGGUGUAGGAGAUGGUUCUUUACAGCUAUGGAACCUUAAGCCUGGAUGGGGAAGCAGGCCAGACGUAUAUGUUGAGAAGGCUCAUUCUGAUGAUAUAACUGGGCUUAAGUUUUCUAGUGACGGGCAAAUUCUACUGUCCAGAAGCUUUGAUGGUUCAUUGAAGGUUUGGGAUUUGCGCCAAAUGAAAAAGUCUCUGAAGGUGUUUGAGGAUCUUCCUAAUCACUAUGCCCAAACAAAUAUAGCAUUUAGUCCUGAUGAACAACUUAUCUUGACUGGAACAUCUGUUGAAAGGGAGAGCACAGUUGGAGGAUUGCUUUGUUUCUUUGAUCGAGCAAAACUUGAACUUGUUUCAAGAGUUGGAAUAUCGCCGACUUGUAGUGUAGUGCAAUGUACUUGGCACCCAAAGCUGAAUCAGGUCUUUGCAACAGCUGGAGAUAAGCAUGUAGGAGGAACUCACAUAUUAUAUGAUCCCACCCUUAGUGAGCGAGGAGCUCUUGUCUGUGUUGCACGAGCACCAAGGAAAAAAUCUGUUGAUGAUUUUGAGGUACAACCUGUGAUUCACAAUCCACAUGCAUUGCCCUUAUUCAGAGAUCAGCCAAGUCGUAAGCGUCAACGAGAGAAAACACUGAAAGACCCUCUUAAGUCCCAUAAGCCUGAGCUUCCCAUUACAGGACCUGGGCAUGGUGGAAGAGUUGGUGCAACUAAGGGAAGCUUAUUGACCCAGUACCUUAUGAAGCAAGGGGGAAUGAUCAAGGAGACAUGGAUGGAGGAGGAUCCCAGAGAAGCUAUACUAAAGUAUGCUGAUGCUGCAGCAAAAGAUCCUAAAUUCAUUGCUCCAGCAUAUGCAGCAACCCAGCCUGAACCAGUUUUUGCAAAGUCUGAUUCUGAGGACGAUGAGAAAUGAUUCAGUUGUGGUAGUGUACUUGUGCCACUCUUUCUUUUUGUUCUUUGCUUUUGGUUUUCAUUUGCUAAUCAGUGAUGGGAUAAUAUUUAGGAGCCUUCAGUCAUUUUACCGUUCAAUUUAUUGAAUGCCUUGUAUUUGUGUUAUUGCACUUAUAUGCAGCUGGUUUUAGGUAUGUUACCUUAAAAUCACCACGAUUUGAAUGAGCACUAAAGAAAUACAUUGAACUGGGCAUCGUUAUACUGAAGUUGAUUGUUUGACAGUAAUGAGGAAGCUUGCAUAUGGAUGUAAUUUGCAGUUGGAAUUUCUGCGCAUCUAAAGCCAUAAACAAUGCUAACACGUCCUUGUCCUAUAUUUUAUUGUUCUAAGGGGAUUGAUGUACACUAAUACAUUGUAUUAUGUCAUUGAUUAGAUAUUGUUGAACAUUAUGAUCAGUUUGAAACAGCAGGUUAAAGAGAUCAUAUAGGUUAAAAUCUUUUUUGUAUAUGAAAUCUAAACACUGGGUGUCAAUGCAUUUUCAUUUAUGACACUUGAUGUCAGUUCACACGUAA